rnacentral:rRNA from 1 species
GACGAACGCUGGCGGCGUGCUUAACACGUGCAAGUCGAGCGGAAAGGCCCUUCGGGGUACUCGAGCGGCGAACGGGUGAGUAACACGUGAGUAACCUGCCCCAGACUUUGGGAUAACCCUCGGAAACGGGGGCUAAUACCGGAUACGACACAGCUUCGCAUGGGGUCUGUGUGGAAAGUUUUUCGGUUUGGGACGGGCUCGCGGCCUAUCAGCUUGUUGGUGGGGUGAUGGCCUACCAAGGCGACGACGGGUAGCCGGCCUGAGAGGGCGACCGGCCACACUGGGACUGAGACACGGCCCAGACUCCUACGGGAGGCAGCAGUGGGGAAUAUUGCACAAUGGGCGGAAGCCUGAUGCAGCGACGCCGCGUGAGGGAUGACGGCCUUCGGGUUGUAAACCUCUUUCAGCAGGGACGAAGCGUAAGUGACGGUACCUGCAGAAGAAGCGCCGGCCAACUACGUG